CUUUUUUUUGGUACGCUCAUGCAUUUGUGUAUAUAUAUAUAUAUAUAUAUACAUACAUAUGCGCAUCUUUUUUUUUUUUUUUGUGUCUUUUUUUUUUUUUAAACACUGUCCUAUGCACAAUAUACAUAUGCCUAUUUAAAAAUCACUCCUGACACAAUGCUAGACUCAACCAAUAACCUAAGCCUUGAAGACAUAGCGAACGUUAAAAUAAAAUUGUACCAGGCAUCCAGUACAUAUGAUUCUAAAGAUUCAAAACAAGAUGAUGUUGCUUAUGAUGUGUACAUAUUAACAUAUAUAAAACAUAUAGUUAGAAUAAAAGCAAAUUUAGCCUUGCAUGGUGGUUUGUAUAGUAACUAUUUUGAAAAAUAUGAAGAGGACUCGAUAUCUAAUAUUAUGUUAGACAAUCUUAUAGAUAAGAGCGAACUAGAUAGAUGCGAAGACAAAAAGCGAAAUGAUAACAAUAGUAAAAAAGGUGAAAGAAUUGAUGUAAAAGAUAAUAGUAGUUAUAAAAACAGUAAUAAAAACGUUAGUAGUGAAAAUAAUAAAAAUUUAUCGAACCAUAAAAAAAAUGAAGAAGAAGAUAAUGAAAAAAGAGAUUUAAAUUAUUCUAUUAAAGAGUUAUUAAAGAAAUUAAUAAAAUCGUAUAAAAUUCGAGAAAAUAAAAUAUUUUUAGUUACUGGUAUGCUAGGUUGUGGUAAAACAACAUGUGUUGCUUUAGCCAUUGAGUAUUUUAAUAAGUUUUUACAAAUAGAAAAUAAUAUGAAAAAUAAAUCUAUGAAAAAAAAUGUUUUAUUUUCAGAUUGUGAUCAUACUAAAAGUAAUAGUAAUAAUAAUAAUAGUAAUAAUAAUAAUAAUAAUAGUAAUAAUAAUAAUAAUAAUAAUAAUAGUAAUAAUAGUGUUAAUAAACUUACGAAUCAUAAGACUUAUAAAAAAACGCCAUAUAUUAAUAAACACUACAAACAUGAAGAUUCUUCAGAGUAUGAUUCUUUACCAAUAGACAUAAGCAGUAAUGAUGGUGGUGGUCAUAAUAAAAAAAAAUUGAAGAUAAAUUACGAUGAGCCACUUUUUAAUUUUACACCUAAAAAAGAUAAGUAUGUAAAAAAAAAUAAUAAACAAAAUACGUCUGUUGUUGCUAGUUGUAACAAAAAAAACGUAAAAACGAAAGAUGGAAAUAAAUACAAUACAUAUGGCAAAAAUCUGGAUGAAGAUAAAACACCUACCCGUUUACGUUUUAACAAUAAUAAUUACAAUGAUCACGAAUUAAGUACUGUUGGUAUAUGUGACAAAAUGAAUAGCUUAGACAGUUUUAACAGUUUAAAUGAUAUGGAACAACAAAUACAUAUAAAUCCUAAUGUUGCAUUAAUAAACAGUAAUAUUAAAGAUAUUUUUGAAAAUGAUGACUUAUCACCUUUAAGAAAAAAUGUAAACAUUCGUAAUAAAAUUCAGUUUGAACAAUAUUUAAAAAAAAAUAAUUCAAAUGAUAUGUCAGAUGACGGUAACACUUAUAAUAGUGAUGAUAUGAAUGAUAAUGUAAAAUUAGAAGAUAAUAUAAAAUAUCAAAAAAUAAUAAAAGAAAUAAAAAAAGAAGAAAAUGAAGAAAGAUAUAUAUAUACUGUCCGUAUUAGUGCAUAUUUAUAUAGAGACGAUUUACAGUGUAUAAAAUCUAUACUAACACAAUUAUAUAAUUAUAUAAAUACAGAAGAUAAAAUAGAAAAUAGCUCAUUAUUAAAUGAUUAUAUAAUUAAAUUGGAAAAAAUAUUAAUUCAAAUAAAUAAUGAUCAUAAACAAACAUUAUUAAUUAUUGAAAAUGUUGAAAAGUUUAGUUUACAAAAUAAACAAAAUUUGUUAUACACACUAUUUGAUUUGUUACAUAAAAAAAAUAUAUGUAUUAAUAUCAUAUGUGUAACUAAUAUAUUAGACAUAACUCAAACGUUAGAAAAAAGAAUUAAAUCCAGAUUUACUUUUGAAAUGUUACAUAUUUCACCUAUUUUAAAUAUAGAUGAAAUAUCUAAAUUAAUAUAUAAAAUUCUUUAUGUAAAUUUAGAUGAUUUCCAUUUGAUAAAAAAAUAUUAUGCUGUUUAUUUUAGUUAUAACGAUUUAAUAAAAAUACAAAAAUUUUUACAAAUUUAUAAUUCUACUAUACAAAAAGAAAUAACAAACAGUUAUUUAUUGAAACAAUGGUCUUAUGAUAUUAAUUAUGGUUUAGAUAUCAGACAUAUAUAUCAUACAUGUAUAGAUGCAAUUUUAUCUAUUUGUGAAUAUAAACAUAUUUUUACAAAUACUCAAAACACGUUUAAAGAUAACACUCUUUUGGAUUGCAUAUCUGACAAAGAUUCGGUUAAAUCGGAUGAUGAUGAUAAUAAUAAUGACAAAAAAACAACAUUCUUCGAAUUGAACCAAUUCCACAACAGUAAAAAUGAAAACGGAAACGGAACGGAACAAAAUGAGAUAAUGACAGAUGAUAUAAAAGAUCUAAAUAAACAAAAUGGCAAAGUAGAUAAUGUUACGCCAAAUAUGCACACUACUACUAAUGGUGGUAGUACUAAUUUUAUGACAAAAGGAAAAAGAAAACAUGUAGAUUAUUUAAGAGAGCGUCCAGUUAAAUUAGAUUGUACACCUGUAAAACAAAAAUUUUAUGAUUCUUCAUAUAAAGAAAACUCAUUUGUAGAGUUUGAUAAUUGUGCUAAUGGAAUGAAAAAUAGAAAUGAGCAAAAUGGUUUUGGUUUUGACAUUAAUAAUAAUAUUAAUAAUAAUAAUAAUAAUAAUAUUAAUAAUAAUAAUAAUAAUAAUAGUAAUAAUAAUAACAGUAAUAACAGGGGUGAGCAUAACGAACAUGAGCAAACAUUCCAUUUUGAUAUGAAUUUAGAUAUGAGUCCAAGAAAAUUAAAAGAAAAUAUAAAAGUUGUAGAAAAUAAAAUAGAAAGUCAGUAUAUACUUAAUAACAUCCAGUCGAAAUUUUUAAGAAGACAUUAUAUUAAAAAAGUGUUAAGAGAUUUAUGUUUAAUUGAAUAUAUGAUAUUAUGUGCAUUUGCUAGAUUAUAUAAAAAAGAAUUAUUACCUAAAACCUUAUAUGUAAUUAUAUUAGAAAUUAAUAAAUUUAAA
ensembl:lncRNA